GUCUUACCAGACAUGGUUAGAUGUAAUAACUUGUGUCUAAUACUGUCUGGUAAUGCCGU
rnacentral:pre_miRNA from 1 species